rnacentral:sRNA from 1 species
AGAUUGCUCAUGUAACUCUUGAGUUUACAUGUAAUCAACAUAUGCUCAUUGAAAACGGGAUUGCUUCAAGAGGACUUUGAGUCCAGGGUGAUUAGGUAAGUAAAAGAUGUAAAAAGGUAGAAAAUUUUCGUCACUUGAGUCUAAAUAAUUGUUCUUAUAAGUGCCAACGCCUGUUUCUGUUAGGCUGAGAAGAUCAAAGGAUUUGGCUCUUUUAACAUAUAGAAACCUCUAGCUUCAGCUAGAAUUUAGGCCUUUAGUAAUAGCCCUAAUUUUUAUGAAGCCAUUUUGUUCCAGUGAUCUUUUGGUGAGAGAUGCUAUGUAAGUACUAUUCUUCAGAAUUAGGUGUCUUUUUACCCUAAUGAAAUAAUUUAGAUUGCUUUUGAUACAGGUAAAACAAAUAUCCUGGCUUCCAUAAUUGUAGAAAAAACUUCAUAUAGGAAUCCUUUGUUGUAUCAAAGUAGCACCUGAUGGGAAUGAACAGACAGGAAUGGAUGAAGGAUAGCAGUUUGCGUUCCAUUUCAAGCCUAUGGGCUCACACAUUUAUUCAGAUAAGAAGACCACCUUUCACUAGAUAAACUCCAACAGUAUUCAUGCAUACUUUAGAAUGGCAUGUAGGAAAUGUUUGAUAGGUACAUGAUGUAUUCACUUCAGGUCACUAAUGUAAUACAGGGUCGUGCUUCUUAGUGUUGACAGAUCACCUAUGGUUCUCCAAAAUGAACAUUCUAGUACAGGAGGUCUAGGGAGGAACCUGAGAGUAUACUAAUGCCUAGGAACUUUCUCUGGAGUGGCAAGAGCAGUGGGAAGAAUUAUAUCAAUAGCUACAGAAAUAAGGGAGUAAGAACAAGUCAUUUCUCUAGUGAAUUAUUCUUCACUUUACUGAGAUAAACAUACAUGUUAAUGAGCUUGAGUUUUCCCAAAAGUAUAAUUCUUCUGGUUCUUCUAAGAAAAUGGCACUCCCUGGAAACAAGGAAGAACCAAAUUUAUUCGCCUUUGUAGCAGUUGGGAAAGUUAGUGCUAGGAAGUCUUCUUGAUUUAUAGUAGGCUUUAAUCUGGAUAUUGCUGGUAAAAGUUUAUUCUAAAACCUGAACUCUGGAUAAGUAAUACAAAAAGCUUCUCAACCUUCCAAGCAAAAUUGAGAGCUUUCAGGUUAUGUGAGUAAUUUGGUCUCUUGGGUGCUUAAUUCAUUCCUUGAAGCUCAUUUUUGUGAUCUCUUCCAAGAUUGCAUUUGCUUGGAGGUAGGGAGUUAGACAAGAUGGUAUGAGGUCCCUAAAUUUUGACUUUCCAAGCAAAAUUGGACAGUGGUUCCUUAAUAGCUAACAUCCUCGUUUCUUCCUAAGGCUACUCAUGUUUCAUAUAUAGUAGCCUUCCCAAAAUCCCAUCCCCCCGCCCCCCCCCCCCCCCCCCCCAUGUAGAGAGAACGAACCUGUCUCCCUUCCUGUACAGAGUACGGGAUCCUUCAACUUUCACACAGGCUGCAGUGUUGGCCACACAUUUAGCUCAGCUUUUUUUUUUAGCCUUAAAGUGAUGUCAGCUGCAUCUGUCGCUGGGUUGCACCUUGUGGAUUUAGUUUGCAUGAAUUUUCUCAGCUUAAACAAAGUUAACAUUGAAUAGAGUAAGCUUACCAUAAAGGGCUUAAUAAAUGCCAUGCAUGUCUACAUUCUGUGUGGAAAUUGAUCUAGUCAGGUUGAUAUUUAACACUGUAGGUUCUUUGUUUAGUUAAUUUAUAUGAAAUAAUGGUUACCAUUUAACUCUUUAGGUUAGCUUUGUACAUAGCAUCUCACUUUGCACAACAACCCUGCAAGGUAAGUAUUGUUGUUCUUGUGCUACAAAUGAAGUUGACUGAGAGGAGGAGUACCACGUCCAAGGUCACACAGCUAUUAAAUGGCAGAGCUGGGAUACUGGCCUGUGACUCAGAACUUGAUGCUUUCCCCCCACGCCAUGCAUGCCAGGUUGCCCUUCCUUUCAGAAAUGGUGGAAGUCCUGCAAAAUGCAAUAAACUGAAGUAACGUAGCUUCUAUUAAUACAAAGUAAAUAACUCAGAUUUACUGGAUUUUAAACCUUAUUCCUUGGGUAAACAAUCUGUGACUGACUUCACACCAAAUAUUUGUUGGGGGAGGAUUUGGACUUUAGGGAUAAAAGUGGAUACAUUUUUUAUUUUACAAACUCUGUAUUUGAACUUAAUUAUUGGCUCUUCAAUUUUAUGUUACCAGCUUUUUUUUUUUUUAAAUGAAUUUGAUUUACAUCGUGGUCAAAUAAAAAUUGUUGAGCAGGGAAAAUAAACUACUUUCUGGAUUCCUUCCCGAAUUUUCUCAUGUUGUGCCCUAGAGAAAAUGUGUUCCACAUUAAGGUGUUACUUUUCCCAGGGGUGUGUUCAUUUAAAAAGAAUGAAGCCAGGCAAUGUUUAUUUUUCUUUUACCUACAAAUAAAUGAAUGGAUUAAUCAUUGUAUACUUGACUCCCAUGUUGGUAGGGAUUUUAGAUAGGAGGCUAUUUCUUGUCUGUGCUUCUCAAUACCCCAUAAGCAGUUGCUUCAUGGAUGUAUAUACUAAUAAGCAGUGAAAGAAAGUGCGUGUUCAAAGAAUACAACAAGGAGUCUGGAUAUUUUGCAAUCAUCUUUAUAUAUUACGGUGCUCUGAAUUAAAAGCUAAAAGUUACUGGGUAUGUCUGACACCUUAGUGCUUUAUCUUGGUUCUACUAAUUUUGUGUGCCCCACUCCCACUUAACCCUAGCCUCAUUCCUUAUCUGUAAGAUAGGGGAUAAUACCAUUGUAAGGUUAUUAUUAAGAUUGAAUAAGGAUAAAAUUUAUAAUGGGUUUUAGCAAAUGGCAGAAAAUAUUUUCUGAAGAAAACCAAGUGCUAUUAAAAAAACAUCACAAGCCUUGGGCUUACUUUGGGAUUUUAAAAGCCAAGAGAAAAUGGAUGGCUGAACUUUCAAACAUUUGGUAAAUAUUAUAGUAUUGUAGUUCAGAGCUCUGGAUUCUUUGCAUUUUGCCUGCUGGGUGAGAAGGAAUAAAAGCUUGUGCCUUUUUUUUUUUUAAUCACUUUAAUUUCAAAACAAUGUGUUUAACCAUUUGUGGGAGUAAUUUUCAUUUUGUGAGCCUGAAGCAUUUUGAUUCAGUGGGAAUUUCUGGUGAUUUAUAUCUGGAAUAGAAGUGAGCUUAAGUUUAGCUAUUCUAACGUUGAAAAAGGAAGCAAUGUUUCUAUUGGAUUCUAAAGUAUACUUUCAAAAAUAUUCUGAAGUAUUUGUAUAUCUUAAACUCGGAGUUAAGACAGCUUAGCUUUGAAGAUAAGAGAAACUAGAUGGGUGCAUUUUCCAUCCAGAUGUGUUUGUUGCUGGAACUAAAUGAAACAGUACAUGGUAACCCUUGAAAGGUUUUAAACUUGUUUCUGUAACUGCUAAUCUACAUACUCUCAAGUCACUAACCUUCCUCUUUGAUCUCUUUGUAGGCUGACCAACUGACUGAAGAGCAGAUUGCAGAAUUCAAAGAAGCUUUUUCACUAUUUGACAAAGAUGGUGAUGGAACUAUAACAACAAAGGAAUUGGGAACUGUAAUGAGAUCUCUUGGGCAGAAUCCCACAGAAGCAGAGUUACAGGACAUGAUUAAUGAAGUAGAUGCUGAUGGUAAUGGCACAAUUGACUUCCCUGAAUUUCUGACAAUGAUGGCAAGAAAAAUGAAAGACACAGACAGUGAAGAAGAAAUUAGAGAAGCAUUCCGUGUGUUUGAUAAGGAUGGCAAUGGCUAUAUUAGUGCUGCAGAACUUCGCCAUGUGAUGACAAACCUUGGAGAGAAGUUAACAGAUGAAGAAGUUGAUGAAAUGAUCAGGGAAGCAGAUAUUGAUGGUGAUGGUCAAGUAAACUAUGAAGAGUUUGUACAAAUGAUGACAGCAAAGUGAAGACCUUGUACAGAAUGUGUUAAAUUUCUUGUACAAAAUUGUUUAUUUGCCUUUUCUUUGUUUGUAACUUAUCUGUAAAAGGUUUCUCCCUACUGUCAAAAAAAAUAUGCAUGUAUAGUAAUUAGGACUUCAUUCCUCCAUGUUUUCUUCCCUUAUCUUACUGUCAUUGUCCUAAAACCUUAUUUUAGAAAAUUGAUCAAGUAACAUGUUGCAUGUGGCUUACUCUGGAUAUAUCUAAGCCCUUCUGCACAUCUAAACUUAGAUGGAGUUGGUCAAAUGAGGGAACAUCUGGGUUAUGCCUUUUUUAAAGUAGUUUUCUUUAGGAACUGUCAGCAUGUUGUUGUUGAAGUGUGGAGUUGUAACUCUGCGUGGACUAUGGACAGUCAACAAUAUGUACUUAAAAGUUGCACUAUUGCAAAACGGGUGUAUUAUCCAGGUACUCGUACACUAUUUUUUUGUACUGCUGGUCCUGUACCAGAAACAUUUUCUUUUAUUGUUACUUGCUUUUUAAACUUUGUUUAGCCACUUAAAAUCUGCUUAUGGCACAAUUUGCCUCAAAAUCCAUUCCAAGUUGUAUAUUUGUUUUCCAAUAAAAAAAUUACAAUUUACCCAA